UACAGAGGUCUCAAGCGUUGUUCGGAUUCAUUGGGCGUAAAGGGCGCGUAGGCGGCUCGGUAAGUCGGGUGUGAAAUCUCGGGGCUUAACUCCGAAACUGCAUUCGAUACUGCCGUGCUUGAGGACUGGAGAGGAGACUGGAAUUUACGGUGUAGCGGUGAAAUGCGUAGAUAUCGUAAGGAAGACCAGUGGCGAAGGCGGGUCUCUGGACAGUUCCUGACGCUGAGGCACGAAGGCCAGGGGAGCAAACGGG
rnacentral:rRNA from 1 species